rnacentral:rRNA from 1 species
ACCAGACUCCUACGGGAGGCAGCAGUGGGGAAUAUUGCACAAUGGGGGAAACCCUGAUGCAGCAACGCCGCGUGAGUGAAGAAGUAUUUCGGUAUGUAAAGCUCUAUCAGCAGGGAAGAAGAAGGACGGUACCUGACUAAGAAGCCCCGGCUAACUACGUGCCAGCAGCCGCGGUAAUACGUAGGUGGCAAGCGUUGUCCGGAAUUACUGGGUGUAAAGGGAGCGUAGGCGGGAAGCCAAGUCAGCUGUGAAAACUACGGGCUUAACCUGUAGACUGCAGUUGAAACUGGCUUUCUUGAGUGAAGUAGAGGUUGGCGGAAUUCCGAGUGUAGCGGUGAAAUGCGUAGAUAUUCGGAGGAACACCGGUGGCGAAGGCGGCCUGCUGGACGGUGUACUGACGCUGAGGCUCGAAAGCGUGGGGAGCGAACAGGAUUAGAUACCCGGGUA